rnacentral:rRNA from 1 species
UGAUCCUGGCUCAGAACGAACGCUGGCGGCAUGCCUAACACAUGCAGGUCGAACGAAGCCUUCGGGCUUAGUGGCGCACGGGUGCGUAACGCGUGGGAACCUACCAUCAGGUUCGGAAUAACAGUUAGAAAUGACUGCUAAUACCGGAUAAUGUCUUCGGACCAAAGAUUUAUCGCCUUUUGAUGGGCCCGCGUAAAGAUUAGGUAGUUGGUGGGGUAAAGGCCUACCAAGCCGACGAUCUUUAGCUGGUCUGAGAGGAUGAUCAGCCACACUGGGACUGAGACACGGCCCAGACUCCUACGGGAGGCAGCAGUGGGGAAUAUUGGACAAUGGGCGAAAGCCUGAUCCAGCAAUGCCGCGUGAGUGAUGAAGGCCUUAGGGUUGUAAAGCUCUUUUACUGGGGAUGAUAAUGACAGUACCCAGAGAAUAAGCUCCGGCUAACUCCGUG